UUUUUUUUUUUUUUAUUAAAGUAUAGUUGAUUUACAGAGUUCCUGUUGUGGUGCAGUGGACACGAAUCCAACUAGCAACCAUGAGGUUGCGGAUUCAAUCCCUGGCCUCGCUCAGUGGGUUAAGGAUCUGGCAUUGCUGUGGCUGUGGCGUAGGCUGGCAGCUGUAGGUCCAAUUAGACCCCUAGCCUGGAAGCCUCCAUAUGCCGCAGGCACAGCCCUAAAAAGCAAAAUGAAUAAAUAAAUAAAUAGUCUAGUUGAUUUACGAGCAUUUUUUCUUGUGUAUUAGAUUUUUAUCUUUGUCAUAUAUUAUUAUUUCUCCUAUAUUUAAAAAAAAAAAAAGUAAACCUUACUUUGACUUGACUUACCCCUCCAGGUAGCCCCCAUUUUGAACCAUUUGGUAAAAAUGAUUGCCAUUAUUUGCUAUCAAUUCUCUCUUCCCUGCCUUCCUUACUCCAAACAAAGAUAACCCCUGCCUCUCCUCCACAAUUUUUUUAUAAAGGUCACUGGUGAUCUCUACUACACUUAAAUCCAACGUUCAAAUCUCAAUUUUAAUCUUAUUAAACUAUCAGCAGCAUUUCACAGAGCUCCUCACAUUAUUCUCCUUGAAACGCUUAUCUUGGUGUUCUGCACAAUGUGUCCUCUGCAUUUCCUCUUAUCUUCUAUGGUUUAUGCUCAGUCUCUUUCUGAAUCCUCCUCCUCUCCUCUGCCUCUUAUCUUCAGAGUGACUCAAGGCUUAAUCCAUGGCUUUCCCCUCCUUUAUAGCUAUCCCCUUCUUGGGCUAUCUCACCCAGGUUCAUGGUACCAUUUUAUUUUAUUUUAUUUUAUUUAUUUUUGUAUGUAUAACUUCGGCCCAGACCUCACUCUUGCAAUUCCAGGCUUAUGUCUCCAACAAAUUGUUCAUCAUCUCCAACAGCAUGUUUAGCAAGUAUCUCAAAUAUAACACCCUCAAAAAAUAAAUCCUGUUUUUGUCAGCUGUGUUCCCAGAGCGCAGUAAAUAGUAAAAAAAGAAAAAAGAUAUUAAUUCUUCCUAUUGCUCGGGACAAAAACUUUGAAGUCAUUUUUGAUGUUUCCUUUUAAUCCCCACCCCCACACUGUAUUUGAUCUGGAAAUCCUGCUGUCUCUAUCUUCAAAAUAGAACCAGAUUUCAACCAUUUCCUACCCUUUCCACCACUAAUAUCCUGUUUGAAGCCACCAUAAACCAUCAUCUCAAUGUUUUCAAAAGCUUCUGAAUAAUGUUGCCCUUUCUGUCCUUCACCCUUUUCAGUCUGUGAUUUACAGAGUAGCCUUUUAAACGUGGGAUCAUGUGACUCCUCUACUGAAAACUGGCUAAAUAGUCUAUUUUCUUUAGAAUAAACCCCACCAUCCUUACAGUGGUCUCCAAAAUCCCAUGUGACAUGGACCUUAUUUCAUUCUGAUCUCAAGCCCACUCCCCCCAUUCCUUAAUCUCUCCAAUCCAUCCUAGUCUCCCUCUCAAUAUUUCUAGACACAGUCUCUCCUAAGAACCUUCUCAUUCUCUGUUACCUCUGGAAUAUUCUUCCUUCUAACAGCCAUAGGGCUAGUCCAUCAUCUCUUCAUGCCUUUGCUCAAAUCCUGCCUUUUUGAGGCUGCCUACUCAGACACCUUAUUUCAAACUGCCGUUUCUCUACUUCUCCUAAAAUACUUUAGGCUAUUUUAGCUUUGAUUUCUUUUCCUAUAGUGGUUUUUGGCUUCUAAUAUACAGCUUAGAUUAGUCAUUUAUUACAUUUAUUGUUGUGUCUAUCUCCUUUUCAUGAAACAGACUCCAUCAAGGUCAGAAUUUUUUUUUUUUUCCUUUCUCUCACUAUUGUAUCACAAGCAUUUAGGGUCUGAGAUAGGAAUAAAUGAUUCAAUUAAAAUUUAAGCUAGGCACUUCACAUAUAAAAUGCCUUGUGUGAUGUAAGCUCUUAAUAAUCAUUCAUUUUCUUCUCUCCCUUACCUUCCUAUUUAUUUUCAGGAAGCAUUUUAUAUUGCCUAUGUUAUUGAUGAAUUACCUUAUACAUAUACAGCAUUAUUUGGCUACAAAGUCUGCAAAUUUGUCCUCCUCUAGUGUAAACCACAUUCAAAACAAAUAGAACCAUCUCUGUACAAUCCUGGCUUGAGGAAUUAGGAGGAAUUAUCCCAGAUUUGAAAGAUCAGCAUUCUGUUUCUUAUUUUAAAGUGGGAUUGAUUGCAGAGAACAGAGUGUCUAUGCAGGGAGUCAGUCUUUUGAUUAAUUCAAAAUUGUUUAUCAAACUCUUCCAUGGAAACAUUGCAAUUUUUAACUACCCUAAACACAUUUUCAGCUACAGAUAGUGUCUUAGGAAUGACUAAUAGUUUCAUCUUAAUUUAAGCUUCACCCCUGCUCCCGGACCUCCAUCUUUCCAUUCCUACCUUAAUCGGUAGCUUUCCAAUAAAAUAUCUCAGGCCAAUGAAUUAAUAGAAUAACAGAUAAAGAGCUCUGUAUAUCCCAGUGCUGGUUCAGAGAUCCAGGCAUGAAUUUUCUCCGAGAUGUCAAAUUGAAUUAGUAGCAUUAGCAUAUUUGAAUUUCACUGUACGUGCUUUUGACACAAUUUCUUAACAGCAAGAAUGUUUCUACCAGUCACAGUGAUUUGUAGGCUGCCAGUCCCCCGAUAACAAAUUUCUGGGGUUCUUGGCAUUGCUAUUCUUUUCUACAGUAGUACAGGCAACAUGGUAUAACCGACAUGUCCAAGAAAUUUAUAGAAAAUUUGGAAAGAUAAUGGGGCAAACAGAAAAAAAAAAAAUUAGAUGAAUUAACUAGACAGCAUCAGCCAAAAGUGUAGAUUAUAGAACGUUUCAUCACCUCCGUUGUAAUUAUAACCUUGAUUAUCUGAGAGAUGUUUCCCAGAGACAGCAAGAUGUUUCACUCCAAAAUUUUUAUAGUUUUGAAAUCUGCAGUUCAAAGGGAAUAUUUGACAAAUUGGCCCCCAAAUCAACUUGGCAUCUGUUUUGGGUCACUGGCAACUAUCUGCCUGGCAUGGUUUUGCUCUUGCCUUGCAUUUUACCCUAAUUCUUCCUACAACCCCUCCUUACGUAUUUUUAAGCAACUAAACCAUGUGAUGUUUUUGUGGAAGGAAGGGGAGUUUUAUUUAUAGAUUCCUGUGCCUGAAAACAAUAUAAUUUGUAGACUUACAGAUUUAUUUUCUCCUUAAAUUUACAGAGACUAGGGAAAUGAUUUUUCAGGAAGGUCCUGGAUUUGAUGUGUUUAAUAAAAGACUAGCCUACUGCCCCACUUCUCUGCCUGCUCCAAAGAUCCUCGGAAUAAUCUUCUUUAUUGGAAACACUAAUUCAUUAUCUCUUCUUACCUCCUAUAGAGUGAGGAUUGAACCUAAAUCUGCAGCUUUGCACAUAAUUAUGCAGAGAAGAAAAAACUACCCACACCAGCAACCACAUAUACACAUAAACAUGCUCAGAAGAUCUGUAUUAUAAGGGGCUACUGCACAGGCAUAAUUAAUGCAAGACAAAAUUAGGAGAGCAAGGAUGAUUAACAGGGCUGUUUCCUGUUUAAGCUGAAAAGAUAAAAGCCUGCUGCUUGAGUCACUCCAGAUCUACCACUCCCCAAAUAUCUCAAAACAUUCUUACUUCAUCGACUGAUAUCCAAUAUCCAUGAAAAAUAGGCAUUUAUUUCAGCUAGAUAUUAGGGUUAAAAUAAAAAAUAGCCAUGAUUUACAUAAUUUUUUAAUCUGUUCAGUUGAGUCAUUUCUGGAUUAAGGCAGAGAAUGCAUCUACAGAUGAUAGUAGAUGUUAGUUUUAAUACCUGAUCUUCUCAGAGUUCAGUUUUUAUGGGAGGAAUAUGGAGGUAAUAAUACAAGUUACGAUUGCCAAAAGUUGAAGAAGAGAAGGAUUUCUAUACAAAAGAAAGCAGUGCAAGGGAAAUAUAGAGAACAAAUAUAAAAUUUUGUUUAUCAUACUAUCUUUUAAAGGUCAAAUUUUAAUUAUGUCAGUACCUAUGGAUGCCAGAAUUACUUUGUCAUUGCUACUUUAACAUUUGAAUUGAGUUCAAAUUUGGAAAUCAGAAACCUGCAGAAUUGGCUAAAUGGAAAGAGAAGUCCAGCUAGAAAAUGAUAGAAUUUCAGAAACAAAGGCAACUUUAGAAACACCUCUGUACAGAUAAGGAAACAAAGCCCAGCAAGAUUAAACUAGAUGGUUCUCAGGCGAUAGAAAAAUUUUAAAGUAAUUCAUAGGUUUCCUGAAUCCUAAACCUGAUUCACUUUGAGUAAAAACGUGCUAAAAUGUUAAUAAAUCAUAUUAGGUUAAAAUUUGACCUUAAAUUUAAUUGACUAAAGGACUAAAGAAUGGCCAGUGUUGAAAUUUAAAGGGCUCUAGUACUUUCUUUUUCUUAUUGGUGUCCUGAUCUAUCUGCCUGUAUAUUAGUUCCCAAAGGAUCUUUGGAAUCCAUUGAUUUAUUUUGAUAAAAUUCUAUUUGCAGAUAAGGAUAUACAUUGGAGGUUUAAUCACCCUGACAGUUAUUCCAGGACUCUUUCUUCUCUUCAUAUCUGUCACAUUAAUGACAUGAGUCUGGUUAUAAAAACGUAUGCACAUUUGCCUCCUCCUGUUAGGAACUUAAUUCGUGUAAUCAAAAAGUCUAUGCUCUGAGGAAACCCAGGCCACAUGGGGUAGCCACAUGGAAAUAUUCUGAAUGAAGCCCACAUUAGACAAUGUAACCAUCAGUUAUGUGAUGUGUGCUUGAUGAUGCCUUCAAGUUGACGGCAGCUUUAGUCAUCGACUGAUUGCAAGAGAAACCUGGAGCCGAUACUGUCUGGCUGAGGCCAGCCCAUUCCCCAAACCAUGAGACAUACUGAUAAAAGGAUUGUUUUAAUCCAUUACAUUUUGAAAUAAUUUAUUACAUGGUAUCAAGAGAUAUAUGGACCUUCCAUGAUGCUGACUUUUUCUCCAACCUCACUGGCAACUUUGAACAGUCUCUUUGGUUUGCUCCUCCAUUUUUGCCUGAGCUCUUGAAAUGCUCCAACACUGAGUUCUGAGCUAUCUGCUCUUUUCUAGCUACAUGUUCUAACUAGCUAAUCCAUGGCUUUAAAUAUCUAUACAGAGAUAACUCUCCAAAAAGUGUAUCUUGAUCCAACCUCUUCAAUGAGUUCUAGUUUGUAACGUCAGCUGCCUUUGGAUAUUACUCUUUGAAUGUCUAAAAUGUACCUUCCAUUGGAAUAUUCUUCCCCAGCCUUUUCUAUCUCAGUAAAUGGUACUAUCAUCCACCCAGCUGCAAAUGAUUGCUAAAUCUAGAAAUAAUUCUUAAUUUUGUCCUUUCCACCAACAGCCAUACUAGCCAAUGCAUCAGUAAAUUCUCUUGACUCUACUUUCAAAACAUACCCAAGCUGUGCCACUUUUGUCUCUACUACCACCAAUCUUGGUCUGCUGCAUUAGCACUGUCACAUAUUUUUCCUGCUUGGAAGCCCACAAUCCAUUCUCCUCAAAGUAAUGAAUGUGGUCCUCAGGAGGAAGAAAAAAAAAGAAGUAAAUGACAUUAUGUACUCCUGUUUAAAAUCUUACCUUGAUUUGCAAGUGUAAUAAUCAAAGUUGAGAGAGGUCUCCUCUGAUUAUUCAAAGUCAAAAUCUUCCAACCCCACCUUGCACAAUUUUCUUUUUAAAAGUUUCUUCAUAGCAGCUUCCAUAGUCUGAAACUAUCUAUUUCAUUUAUCAUUUAUUCACUUGUUUAAUGCUGUCUCUCAUUUCCUUGUUUUUCUUAUUUCCCACUAUAUUCUAAUACAGAGAAGAAUGACCAGUACCAAGUAUAUGGAAGAUUCUCUUUUUUUUUUUUUUUUUUUUUUUUUUUGCUGCAUCAAAGAAUGAAUACCUUU
ensembl:lncRNA